rnacentral:rRNA from 1 species
CUACGGGGCGCACCAGUGAGGAAUAUUGCACAAUGGGGGGAACCCUGAUGCAGCAACGCCGCGUGGAGGAUGACGCAUUUCGGUGUGUAAACUCCUUUUAUAUGUCAAGAAAAUGACGGUAGCAUAUGAAUAAGCACCGGCUAACUCCGUGCCAGCAGCCGCGGUAAUACGGAGGGUGCAAGCGUUACUCGGAAUCACUGGGCGUAAAGGACGCGUAGGCGGGUUGGAAAGUCAGGUGUGAAAUCCUACAGCUUAACUGUAGAACUGCACUUGAAACUUCUAAUCUAGAGUAUGGGAGGGGAGAUGGAAUUAGUGGUGUAGGGGUCAAAUCCGUAGAUAUCACUAGGAAUACCUAAAGCGAAGGCGAUCUCCUGGAACAUUACUGACGCUAAGGCGUGAAAGCGUGGGGAGCAAACAGGAUUAGAUACCCUCGUAGUC